CGGCCCAGACUCCUACGGGAGGCAGCAGUGGGGAAUAUUGCACAAUGGGCGGAAGCCUGAUGCAGCAACGCCGCGUGAGGGAUGACGGCCUUCGGGUUGUAACCUCUUUUAGCAGGGAAGAAGCGAAAGUGACGGUACCUGCAGAAAAAGCACCGGCUAACUACGUGCCAGCAGCCGCGGUAAUACGUAGGGUGCAAGCGUUAUCCGGAAUGAUUGGGCGUAAAGCGUCCGCAGGUGGCAGUUCAAGUCUGCUGUCAAAGACCGGGGCUUAACUUCGGAAAGGCAGUGGAAACCGAACAGCUAGAGUAUGGUAGGGGCAGAGGGAAUUCCUGGUGUAGCGGUGAAAUGCGUAGAGAUCAGGAAGAACAUCGGUGGCGAAGGCGCUCUGCUGGGACCAUAAACUGACAACUCAAGGGGACGGAAGCUAGGGGAGCGAAUGGGAUUAGAUACCCCAGUAGUCCUAAGCCGUAAACGAUGGAUACUAGGUGUUGUCUGUAAUCGACCCGGACAGUGCCGUAGCUAACGCGUUAAGUAUCCCGCUAGGUCGUAGGGG
rnacentral:rRNA from 1 species